AGAUAUUCCAGCAACACAACUGCAUCGACUUAGAAAACAAAAUUUCGUUAUUCUUAGAAAAAGAAAAAAUAACUUUGAAUUUUCUGAACUUUCCGACCAUCUUAGUUUACGGAAAUAAUCAACAUGCGUUAUCUUUCAAUAGUUUGUGUAUUUUUAAUCUUCAUCAUUUACUCAACAAGCACAGUACAAGGUCAUGCAUAUAGUUCGAGCUUCGCAGAACCUACAGCUACCAUAAUCGGUGCUCCACUCCUAAAGUGUCCUGAAGGAUAUAAAUAUGAUCGACGCUUUAAAUGCCGAAAAGUUAUUACUUAAAUUAAGGAAUAAAAAAUUAAUAAUAAUAUAAAAAUAUUAUUCCAAUAUUAUAUGUCAAAUUUGUUUAUGAAUAAUAUAAUGAAAAUUAUAAAUAAUGUAACAUAAUUGGAAAAUAAAUGUUAAAUUAAAAAUUAAAAGAAUAAAGACAUAUUAAAAG